UGGUUAGAGUUGGAGACAAACGACGUAGGACGUGACGAAUAAACGAAUCCUUUCCACUGACUCACUCGUACCCAUCGAGAAGUCUACGGGUGUCGGCCUUGUUCACGCGCCGCACGAUGGCGGUCAAGUUGUCCUACCUCGUGGACCACCUCGUGUACGCGCGCAGCGUGGUAAGCGGCGUGCUCGGCGCGACGCCGCAGACGCCGUUCGUGACGGCGAGCGAGCUGCGGGAGGCGCUGGUGGAGCCGAAGCCGCGGAGGGACGGGGGGUUCGGGCGGACGCGGUGCCGGAAGCGACGGUUCCCGACGGGGGAGACGGAGCGGCAGAAGAGAUCGAGGCCGAGGGAGGCGCAGGUGUCGGGUUGGACAGUGGAGAGGGCGGGAGGCCAAGGGAGCUCCCGGUACGGUUCUCACCGGCAGCCGCCACACCACCGCGACCCCACGUUCUACCACCCGCCGCCCUCGCUGCCCUGCGACCUGCACACGCCCGCGCAGACGCAGUAGCUGCUCUUACUCUGGUAGCAGAAGCUCUUGAAACACUCCGGCGAGGAGGGCCACUGCGUGAUGGCCAUGCUCUGGUGCCCCUAGGCGGGGCUCAUGGACGCCCUGCGCGGCUGCCACUUCUGCCACGUCGCCGUCCAUCUCCUGUAGGAGGAGUUGCCGCUCGUCGGCACCUUCUAGGCCAGGAGGGCGCCGCGCCGGUCCGAGGAGCAGCCGGUGCCGGACCUCGUGCUAGAGUUGCACGACCCGUACCUGAUGGGCCGCAUGGACUUCGCCCUGUGCCGCCUUAUGGGCGGCGACCACUUCUGCUCGCGGUCCGACUACUCGUUGAGCGAGGCCAAGGAGUGUGUUUCGACGGAGCCGAUGCUUUAGGUCUGCCCGGUGGUCGUGGGGAUGCUCCUGACGCACCGCCGGUACGCCGACAUGUUCUCCUACGCGCGCUACUCCGUGCCGGUCGGGUUCUUGCCGCCGCUUCCGCUACCCACGCGCCGCCACCGUAAGGGUCGCGCCUCCGUCGCCCUCGACCUCGCGUACAGCGGCCUCCUCGAGGAAUCGUACAGGUUCGGCCUGAUGGUGACGACCACGGAGCUGCUGAUCGAUCGGUGCCGGUCACGCUCCGACGGUCGCCUUAAGCUAAGAAGCGCGAAAUGAAUCAACUAGUUUUAUGGUGCACGAACAAUGUAUCGAUCGACGUCAUGUUGCACCACUUAUUCUUUGCCUCUCUCCCCCUCCCUCUCUCUCAUCUGUAUACGUCUGCGCUCAUCCUGACAUCCUCAUAUAUAUACAUGUACAGGGUCACUUACGACCAAGUAGAUGUAUGAAAUACUUGAUUACCUGUACUUAGAGUUCC
rnacentral:rRNA from 1 species